rnacentral:rRNA from 1 species
CGGUGACGCGUACCUAGCUGAUGUAGCAUGCGCGUGAGUGAUGAGCUAGGGUUGUAGCUCUUUCGCUGGAGAUAUGACUGUAUAGUAAAUAAACCCCGGAUAUUUCCGUGCCAGCAGGCGCGUUUAUCCGUGCCAGGGCAUCUACUAUAUG